CCUACGGGUGGCAGCAGUGAGGAAUAUUGGUCAAUGGACGAGAGUCUGAACCAGCCAAGUAGCGUGAAGGAUGACUGCCCUAUGGGUUGUAAACUUCUUUUGUAAAGGAAUAAAACGAGGCACGUGUGCCUUUUUGAAUGUACUUUAUGAAUAAGGAUCGGCUAACUCCGUGCCAGCAGCCGCGGUAAUACGGAGGAUCCGAGCGUUCUCCGGAUUUAUUGGGUUUAAAGGGAGCGUAGAUGGGUUGAUAAGUCAGUUGUGAAAGUUUGCGGCUCAACCGUAAAAUUGCAAUUGAUACUGGCAGUCUAGAGAACAGUUGAGGUAGGCGGAAUGCGUGGUGUAGCGGUGAAAUGCUUAGAUAUCACGAAGAACCCCGAUUGCGAAGGCAGCUUACUAAGCUGUGACUGACAUUGAUGCUCGAAAGUGUGGGUAUCAAACAGGAUUAGAUACCCUUGUAGUC
rnacentral:rRNA from 1 species